GAUGAACGCUGACAGAAUGCUUAACACAUGCAAGUCAACUUGAAUUUGGGUUUUUUAACUUAGAUUUGGGUGGCGGACGGGUGAGUAACGCGUAAAGAACUUGCCUCACAGCUAGGGACAACAUUUGGAAACGAAUGCUAAUACCUGAUAUUAUGAUUAUAAGGCAUCUUAGAAUUAUGAAAGCUAUAUGCGCUGUGAGAGAGCUUUGCGUCCCAUUAGCUAGUUGGAGAGGUAACGGCUCACCAAGGCGAUGAUGGGUAGCCGGCCUGAGAGGGUGAACGCCCACAAGGGGACUGAGACACGGCCCUUACUCCUACGGGAGGCAGCAGUGGGGAAUAUUGGACAAUGGACCAAGAGUCUGAUCCAGCAAUUCUGUGUGCACGAUGACGUUUUUCGGAAUGUAAAGUGCUUUCAGUUGGGAAGAAAAAAAUGACGGUACCAACAGAAGAAGUGACGGCUAAAUACGUG
rnacentral:rRNA from 1 species